UACGAAGGGGGGCUAGCGUUGCUCGGAAUCACUGGGCGUAAAGGGUGCGUAGGCGGGUCUUUAAGUCAGGGGUGAAAUCCUGGAGCUCAACUCCAGAACUGCCUUUGAUACUGAGGAUCUUGAGUUCGGGAGAGGUGAGUGGAACUGCGAGUGUAGAGGUGAAAUUCGUAGAUAUUCGCAAGAACACCAGUGGCGAAGGCGGCUCACUGGCUCGUAACUGACGCUCAUGCACGACAGCGUGGGGAUCAAACAGG
rnacentral:rRNA from 1 species